rnacentral:rRNA from 1 species
UGCGUAGGCUGCGCGGAAAGUUGGGUGUGAAAUCCCUCGGCUCAACCGAGGAACUGCGCCCAAAACUACCGUGCUCGAGGGAGACAGAGGUGAGCGGAACUUAGGGUGGAGCGGUGAAAUGCGUUGAUAUCCUAAGGAACACCCGUGGCGAAAGCGGCUCACUGGGUCUCUUCUGACGCUGAGGCACGAAAGCUAGGGUAGCGAACGGGAUUAGAUACCCCGGUAGUCCUAGCUGUAAACGAUGAGCACUGGGUUGGAGGGCCCCUCAUAGCCUUCCAGCCGCAGCGAAAGUGUUUAGUGCUCCGCCUGGGGAGUAUGGUCGCAAGGCUGAA